rnacentral:rRNA from 1 species
UACGUAGGGGGCGAGCGUUGUCCGAAGUUACUGGGCGUAAAGCGCACGUAGGCGGUCAUUUAAGUCUGAGGUGAAAGGUUCAGCGCUCAACGUGAACAGUGCCUUGGAUACUGGGUGACUUGAGUUCGGGAGGGGGCAGUGGAAUUCCAGGUGUAGCGGUGAAAUGCGUAGAUAUCGGGAGGAACACCAGUGGCGAAGGCGGCUACCUGGGGCUUUGCUGACGCUGAGGCGCGAAAGCGUGGGGAGCGAUCCGG